UAGAUUUUUCUUUGUCCACUGCCACAGCUACAACCCCUUCUCUUAUUUCUCCAUUAUCUCUUGUGUUCAACAUUGUAUAAGCUAAGGUCGUUCUUUUCUAGCACCCUUUAUGGUAUGUGUAUUGAUGAAGCCUAUGCAGGCAUCAUCAAUUCAUACGAGGUUCAUAUAAGAAAGAUUUAGAAUUAAUAAGGUAGAAAUAAAGACAUGUAGAAGGAUAUGGAAAAAGCUUAUUAAUCAAUAUUUAGUCAAUUCCAAAUCACCUCUUUCCCAACAAUUACGUGUUUGCUUUUUGCUAAAUGGAAAAGCUAUUUAAGCGCCACUGUAUUUGGAGGAUGUUGGAAACGAGAGAUUAACAUUAAUGUAACUAACAAAUGAAACUUUAUAUGAAGUAUUUGAAGACAAAAUGAAAUAUUUGUCAAAAAUGAAUAAGACAGAAUGCAUGCUGAAACAUAAGUAAUUAAUGUGCUAUAUAAGCUUGAGAUAAGAUUAACAAUAAUGUUGUAGUGUAAGAAAAAUGCCAUAAGAAUUGAUCGCUAGGACAUGGGUGGGAUGCUAUAAGUAAAAUGGAAUGAGAUGGAAUCCCCUAGGAUUUGACCAAUUCCACAAUCAAAGAACUUCAUAAUAGAUAUGCACCAUGCUAUCUAACCAAAAAAAUAAGUAAACUAUCUUUCGGUUAAUGAAUUAAUCUCUUUUAAGGUAUGUGGUUGUUUCCAAUAAGUAUCGUUGAUAAGAGUGUUAACCUAAGGAUCAAACAUAGUCUUACACUACUAAACUAAGGCCUUAUUAAUCUAUGAAGUAAGAUUAGAGACAAUUAAUUUUUAUUUAAUAUUAGGAAUGAUCUAAUUAAUUUUUGGUUCUGAAUAAACACAGUUCCUCAAGCAUAUUUUGAAUCCUCAAUAAGACAAUAACCAACCCAUGGACAAUUAUAUUUAUAUAAUUACACCCAUAAACUAAAAUUUUAAAUAUAUGUAAGGUGAAAAAACAUUAUCUUUAUUAUAUAAGAAUAUAACUUAUCUUCUAAUAUAAGUAGAUAAUUUAUUCUCUUUAAAUUUUGGAUGAAAUUAAAAAAAAUUGCUACAAUACUUUAAGAUAAAAAUUAUUCGGAAAUCAUUGCUUCUUGAAAGAGAAAUAAUAACUCCAAUACUUUAAUAAAUAAAAGAUAUUCGGAAAUCAAUGCUUCGUGAAAGAAAAAUAAAAACCAUGAAAUAUAAACCAAAAAAGGAAAAAAGUCAAAAACUCGAUGAAAUAAGUCAAAUAACGUUUAGAAAACAAUCAAAUGAAUCAAUUGCUUUUUCCUAAAAAUAAUCAAAUCCCGAAUAUAGCAUCACAUCGCAAUACACAUUUUUUAAGCUUACCGUUGAAGAAAAAACAUAACUUCAUCAGCGUAAGCAUUAUUUUGAAGGAAGAGAAAAGUGAGUAAAAAGCGAUAGAAGGGAAAGAAAUUCAAAAAGCAUUGAUUCAAAUGGAUAAUGCAGUGAUACCAAUACCAAUCAUUUACAAGUUGAAGUACACGCAAUAAAAAAGCCAACAAUUCCUCCCACACAACACUAAAAUCAAUUAAUCAAUUUAUAAUCACAGGCAUCAUCAUCACCAACCCAAAGAAAAAGCUGAUAUUGCUGAAGCUCUUAAUCACUUUCAACAAAAAAUCAAUUCUUUCAUUUCAGUCACUUUUUUAGAAUAAUUAGAAGGAUGUUAUUGUACUAAGGUUAAUUUUAAAAUUCAUCUAUUUUAUUUUUAUUUUCAUUUUUACAUAGGUGAAGGAAGGACUCUAGUUAUGGGUAAUCAAGAAUCAACUUAUGAAUCUCGUGAUGAUUUUUUCCAACAACCUUAUUCAUAUUCUUCCAGUUCAUGGAACACUGGUUAUCAUGAACCAUUUUCUUAUGCUGAGAGUUCUGUGAAUACUAGUUAUCAACACAAGCAGCUACCAACAUAUAUACCUGACAAUUUCACUUCAUUGGAUCAGGUUUUCAAUGCUACCUUUUCUCAUUCAUUUAGAACUAGGAUUGUCAGCAUUAGUAUGGUUUUAAGUUGUGGAGACUACUGCAACCGCAAUUACACGAUGUGCGGACUAUAAUUUAAAACCCUUUUCCGCAUUACAAGGAAAGCUUGUUUCUAAUACACUAAGAAAAGGCAUCUACAAUCAGGUUCAUAGGAAAAUUUGAAGUUUAUUUGACUGUAUGAUAGCAUAACUGUAUCUGUUAUAUGGUAAUUGAUCAUUUGAAUUCCUUUGUAUAUUAGAAAAUCCCUUGAGAAAUUUUUUUAGGUAUGUCACUCUAAAUUACUAGUGUUGCAGACAUACCAAUAGUAUUGAAUAUGUGGAACCUGCCCUCAUAAAUAUGUAGACAACCUUUAUUUUGAGAAUAAGUAUGAAAGAACAUGGUUCUAUUCGAAGAAGUUAUUGUAGCCUGCACACACAGUUAAAGAAGCUGUGCAUAUUACUCUUAGGUCAAUUUGACAAGAAGGGAACUGGAUUACUGUAUCUUUGAUGAUGUUUUGAAUAUACUUAGCUUUAGCAUGUUAUAUCUUAGGUUGUUUCUGCUCUGAGAGAAGCUGGUUUGGAAUCUUCAAAUUUAAUACUUGGUAUUGACUUCACCAAAAGCAAUGAGUGGACAGGUUCUUCCUUUGUGAAUGUGAAAUUAAUCCUGUAUAUGUUGAACUGAGCCGAACAGUUCGCGAACUUUAACCGAAUCAAACUCGAGCUAAAAAAAUAACUCGUAUCGAAUCCGAGUCGAGUUUCGAGCUGAACCAAUCCUUAUUGAACUGAACUCUGGUUCGACUCAGUUCGGCUCGUUUCCAGCCCUAGUAGACACUACUCAACCAUAUUUAUGAUAAAAAUGUAAUAUCUAUUCAAUGUUGAUUUAAAGAUCAUAAGAAUGAAUAAUUAAUAGCUUUCCAUAAGCACCAAUUUGUCAAAUAUUGGACACACAAGGUGAUGAAAACAAGAAUUGUGAGACAUAGUACUAUUAUUAUUAUUUAUGACAACCAACGAACCUGGAUUUUGAACAACAUGAACUAGUUUAAUAGGCGUGUCUCUGGGGCAAAGAUUAUCAACGGCCCAUCUAAGAGCAUAUUGGCUAGAUUUUUCUUUGUCCACUGCCACAGCUACAACCCCUUCUCUUAUUUCUCCAUUAUCUCUUGUGUUCAACAUUGUAUAAGCUAAGGUCGUUCUUUUCUAGCACCCUUUAUGGUAUGUGUAUUGAUGAAGCCUAUGCAGGCAUCAUCAAUUCAUACGAGGUUCAUAUAAGAAAGAUUUAGAAUUAAUAAGGUAGAAAUAAAGACAUGUAGAAGGAUAUGGAAAAAGCUUAUUAAUCAAUAUUUA
rnacentral:lncRNA from 1 species